CAGCCGCCGCGGGAAUACGGAGGGUGCAAGCGUUAAUCGGAAUUACUGGGCGUAAAGCGUGCGUAGGCGGUUCGUUAAGUCUGUUGUGAAAGCCCCGGGCUCAACCUGGGAAUGGCAAUGGAUACUGGCGAGCUAGAGUGUGUCAGAGGAUGGUGGAAUUCCCGGUGUAGCGGUGAAAUGCGUAGAGAUCGGGAGGAACAUCAGUGGCGAAGGCGGCCAUCUGGGACAACACUGACGCUGAGGCACGAAAGCGUGGGAGCAAACAGGAUUAGAUACCCCGGUAGUCCCUGUCUCUUAUACA
rnacentral:rRNA from 1 species